ACUUAGGCUUCGGUCUAAGUUGAGUGGCGAACGGGUGAGUAACACGUGGGUGACCUACCUUCGAGUGGGGGAUAACGUCCCGAAAGGGACGCUAAUACCGCAUAACAUCCUGCCUUUGAACAGGUGGAGAUCAAAGCCGGGGAUCGCAAGACCUGGCGCUUGAUGAGGGGCCCGCGUCUGAUUAGCUAGUUGGUGAGGUAAUGGCUCACCAAGGCGACGAUCAGUAUCCGGCCUGAGAGGGCGGACGGACACACUGGGACUGAGACACGGCCCAGACUCCUACGGGAGGCAGCAGUGGGGAAUUGUUCGCAAUGGGCGCAAGCCUGACGACGCAACGCCGCGUGGAGGAUGAAGGUCUUCGGAUUGUAAACUCCUGUUGCUCGGGACGAAAAGCUUUGACCUAACACGUCAAAGUCUGACGGUACCGAGUGAGGAAGCCCCGGCUAACUCUGUGCCAGCAGCCGCGGUAAUACAGAGGGGGCAAGCGUUGUUCGGAAUUACUGGGCGUAAAGGGCGCGUAGGCGGCCUGCUAAGUCGAACGUGAAAUCCCUGGGCUCAACCCAGGAACUGCGUCCGAUACUGGUUGGCUUGAAUCCGGGAGAGGGAUGUGGAAUUCCAGGUGUAGCGGUGAAAUGCGUAGAUAUCUGGAGGAACACCGGUGGCGAAGGCGACAUCCUGGACCGGUAUUGACGCUGAGGCGCGAAAGCCAGGGGAGCAAACGGGAUUAGAUACCCCGGUAGUCCUGGCCCUAAACGAUGAAUGCUUGGUGUGGCGGGUAUCGAUCCCUGCCGUGCC
rnacentral:rRNA from 1 species